GGAAAAGCGGCGGUACAAUAGUAUGUGUCCAGAUGGUGUGUACGCGGCCAGGCACCGGGAAAACAUCACCUCAUGGAAGUGUUCACAGAAAGGGAGUUAAGAGGGUCACGUAUAUCAUCAGCCUGCCCUGAAGUCUGCUCUUCUGAACUCAAUCAUGGUAGAGGCUGUGCUGUCCUCACUCCUGCCAGUAUACUGCCCGUGCCUGCCUCGAUCCUCCCAGCCUUCCUUCUUCCAAGAGAGGCAGUGGCUGAAUGGUUAGUGUGCAGGUCCUGCGUUCACCAAGUUCUGGACAAUGUGGGUUCAAAUUCUCUGCUACCACCUGGGAUUUUUCAGUCAUUGCCAAGUGGCAUAAGGCUACCCACGUGCUGUCCUGAAGAUCACC